GCACACCCUUGCCUGCUUGUUGUUGUUUUCUUCCUCCCCCCCCCAGCGACACGGCCGCCAGCGCCGCCGCCGAUUGGCUGGUUCCCGCCUGCCGCCGCAGCCAAUCGGCAGGCGGGGAUGGCGGCAAAAGACAGAAAGAAAACCUUUCUUGUUCAUGAAGACACUAAGUUGCAGACAUUUUCAAGUCAGGACACUUCAGCAUGCUCACACAGGACUUCUUUCAUAUGCAACCUAGAGGCAGCCUCAAAAGAUGUUGUUUCCCCAUCAAUCAAAAAGUAAUAUCUCAUUUGUUCUAUGCACCUCCAUUGCAUGUACCAAGCAAACAGAUCAUGGGAUCCAGCUUCCCUUGCAAGCCAGAAAAAGGGCUUUACAAAUGUUUUUCAGUGAAGGGGAAAUAGGUGGCAGAGAAACUGAAACAAAACUAACCAGAACCUGCACCAGAGAAGAUGCCACAAAAUACCAAAUCAGUGCAUCAUGCCAGUUAUACAUUUUAAAGCACCCUGGAAAACUGCUAGAGGAUUUUCUGGUAAAAUUUAGGACUGGAUCACUUCCAAGAGGCCCAAAAGCUGGGUCAGUGAUCAAAAGAAGAUUAAAACCCCUGAACCAUCCAGCAUACUUCCAGAUAAGAAAAUGAUGUGGUUUUCCUUUCUUCUGCUGAAUUUCUUUAUUAGCAGCUGGGUUAUUAAUCACUGAAAAUCUAGUCUAGAUUUGACUGUGCAUAUUAUCUGAUCUGUAAUACACUGUGACCUGAAAAGGGUCUGAUGUGCAUGACAGAUUUUUUGUAUUUUUCCAUUGUUAUCAACCAGUCUGCUCAAAGAUAUCACCUCUUUUUGCCUUUCUAACCUCAAAACCACCUGCAAUAUUAUAAAGACAGCUGAUCAUAUGCUGAUCUCUGAGCUGUAGAGCCCUGCUUCCUCUCUCCCAGCCUCCCUACCCCAGCCAUAUUAAUAGCAAACAUACCACCAAAAUCCUCAUAAAAACAAAAGAGCAGAUUUUCUCCUCACAUAGAAAAAGAAACCACCCUCUUUUGACCAUUUCUGGCCAAUUUGCAGCUUGAGACAACCCAUGCGGGCUGUGCAGCUCAGCAUCCUCUCCGCAGCACCUGCAUCCCGGGUUUACCUGCACCCAGGACCUCCUCCGCUCCAACCUGUGCCAAGGGGGACCCGCCAGCAGCUCCCACCCUUAACGCCGCCAGUCACCUGGAGCAGAAUGCUUGCACCGAGGCGAGCAGGUCACUUUCUAGCUGCCUUCCUUCCUUAGAGCCUGCUGGGUUGUUUUCAAACUCUCCCCUCCCUUUCUCACAUGCUGGCCAAGCCCUCUUGUAACACCCAGGGGAGGAAUCCAUUGGCUGAAGUUCCCCAAAACACGUGGAGCAGCCCUUCCCCCUAUCCAAUCUCUAGUUCACAAUAGACACAGGGUGUCUCCAGGCUGCCCUGGACAGUUUGCUGCUGGCCUUUGCUUUUCAUCAAGGUUUAUCUGAGCUGCAGCUGCCAUGACUCACACAGGUCCCUGACCUCCGGCACCGAAGAGAGCAGAGAAGAGCAGAGAGAAAUGGUGUUAGGUUAGAAACAUCACAGAUCAUUCUCAUUGCGCUCCCCUGGCUGUGGGUUUCUCAAAGUUUUACUUUCUGUUUUAAAUAUUUUCGAUAGGCAGCAUCUGUGCUCCUGACACCUCAGCAGUGCUGUUUGAUUACAGUCGAGUCUGUUACUGUGCCACUUGGAAUAUAAAUUGCCACACAUAAUGCACACGGCAAAAAAUAUAUCGUAUCUGUUAAAUCAAUCUGCUCUGUUCAGUUGCCUGUCUCUUGGCCUUCUGCUUUCUCUUCCUUCAGCCUACUUUUAUUUUUGCAUCUUCUGCAAAGGUGCCUUCAUAAAAUGAACUGCAAGCACAGCAAUCCCAUUCUUCAGGAGGCAGCGUCAGCCCCAGGUUGAAAGGAUAGUAAAUCAUGCCUUUGCUGUUUUUUAAUGCUCAGUAAUUAGAGUUGCUUUUGAACAUCCUCCUGCAGCUCCAUCCAUGAGCUGGGAACAAGACUGUGCUGCAGACCUGUGUGUGCAGUGCCUGUCAAGACUGGGAACCCUUUGGAGGGGUGGAAGGGGGUCACCAUACGGUUGCCUGAACAUGGAGACUGAAGUGUCACCCACUGUGAUGGCUUUGGAUAGCACUUUCCCAAACCGCAGCUUGCCUGUCUUUGUUGUGGCUUUCCAGGACUUGCCCCUCACAUUGCACAAAAAGCCUUCCCUCUUCACAUUUCUGAGUACACCCUUCUGGCAGAAGUGUUAGAAUUGGGUUUGCUCUGUAAAACUGUUCCAGGCAUGUCUCCUCUGUGCUGCAGUUGUCAUCUGUUCAUUCUUGCCUUAACAAAAGGCAACCACGCAUCUGAAAAGAAGCUUUACUGGAAAGGGCUGAACUUGUGAAAUGUGCAGAAAAAUGGGAGUGCUUGAUUUAAGAGAUCCAGACAGUGAGUUCAUUUAAGAGCUAACAACCAGAAACAUGAAAUACCGCCUUUACCUCAGAAUAAUUGUCCUUUUUUACUGGUUCACUGUGGGAGAAAAUCCUAGGGAACCGUUUAUUAAAGCAAGGUGUGUUAUUGCCUUGUAAUUAUUAUUUGACAAGCUGAGGUCUUGUGAUUAAUAAAUCAUGUGCCUGCUU